rnacentral:lncRNA from 1 species
UCAGAGGUGAUUUCAAAGUUCUGAGACCUGAUUGAGAAGCUGAAGAAGGACGUGUACGCCGUGAUGCGCCUGGAGAGAGAGGAGAGGGCCAUGGCCUACACGGAGGCUCAGUGUGGCACAGAAGCAGCUAGCACAGAACGCAGAUGAGACAGACCCCCAGAGGACGUGGUUCAAAAUGCACGAUGAGCGCAAGAAAGACUGCAUGGCCAAAGCUCUGGCGGACUUUGACUUGGCCCUAAGGGGAAAGAAGAGUGAGAAGUUCAUCAAAGAGGGGAAAAAGAAAGAUUUAUCGUCUGAGGACAGAGCCCAGUUUGAGAUCCUCAAGUCCCAGAUGUACGCCGAGUGAGCAGCCAAGAGGGACCGCACACCUAAACGAGCCAGGGCCAUGCCAGAGGAUGAGCCUGUCCAGAAAGGCCCAUCCCUCCCCCGUGUCAUCGAUGGCCAGCCAGCGUAUACGGUGAGACGCCUCCUGAGGGUUCGACCACGGGGCAGGGGUUUCCAGUACCUGGUUGACUGGGAGGGUUGCUGUCACUUCCUGAUCUGUUUCACCUGUCCUUGUGAUUGUCUCUACCCCCUCUAGGUGUCGCUUAUUUUCCCUGGUGUAUGUAUCCCUGUGUUUCCUGUCUCUCUGUGCCAGUUCGUCUUGUCAAGUCAACCAGUGUUUUGACCAUUGCCUGCCCUGACUCUGUACCCGUAUGCUUGACUAUUCUGCCUGCCCUGACCUCGAGCCUGCCUGCCUGCCUGGACUAUGACCUUGUUAUGAACUUUUUACCUGUACACGACCAUUAUCUUGCCUGCCCCUUGGAUCC